UAACUCCGGGUUCCAGCUAUUGCGCGGG
rnacentral:sRNA from 1 species